rnacentral:rRNA from 1 species
UUCUGGCUCAGAAUGAACGUUGGCGGCGUGGAUUAGGCAUGCAAGUCGAGCGAUAACCGUAGCAAUACGGCGAAAGCGGCGUAAGGGAGAGUAAUGCAUGGAUAUCUACCCUCGGGUCUGGGAUAGCUGCGGGAAACUGCAGGUAAUACCAGAUGACAUCUCCGGAUCAAAGGUGUGAUUCCGCCCGGGGAGGGGUCCAUGUCCUAUUAGCUUGUUGGUGAGGUAACGGCCCACCAAGGCAAAGAUGGGUACGAGGUGUGAGAGCACGACCUCGCUCACUGGGACUGAGACACUGCCCAGACACCUACGGGUGGCUGCAGUCGAGAAUCUUCGGCAAUGGGCGCAAGCCUGACCGAGCGACGCCGCGUGCGGGAUGAAGGCCUUCGGGUUGUAAACCGCUGUCAGUGGGGAGGAAAUUCCAUAGGGUAAUCUCUAUGGAUUGACCUAUCCGCAGAGGAAGGAUGGGCUAAGUUCGUGCCAGCCGCAGC